rnacentral:rRNA from 1 species
UACGGGGGGGGCAAGCGUUGUUCGGAUUUACUGGGCGUAAAGGGCGCGUAGGCGGUCAGCACAAGUCAGUUGUGAAAUCUCCGGGCUUAACUCGGAAAGGUCAACUGAUACUGUGCGACUAGAGUGCGGAAGGGGCAACUGGAAUUCUCGGUGUAGCGGUGAAAUGCGUAGAUAUCGAGAGGAACACCUGCGGCGAAGGCGGCUCACUGGCCCGGUACUGACGCUGAGGCACGAAAGCGUGGGGAGCAAACAGG